AUCGACCGAGCGGUUUCGAAACUACCAGAGCUGGGUCUCCCUGAUCUCCGAGAUAAUCUGACUUGCUCUCUGCAGUGCCUGUUGAGGGGGAGGGGGAGAGCGAGAGGUCAACCCACAGGAAAUCUGACUGACGCUCCUCAUGGACUAGCUCCACGCAGCGCAAGCCCGGCUCCUCCAGACGCUUGAUCUGCCGCUUGACCAGCAGCUCGAAGGACACCUCGGGGACGAAGAGGGCAGGCCGCGGGCCCUGUGGGGUGGCGAAGGCAGGUCUCAGUAACACAGGAGGCGAUGCACUCGAUCACGCGUUUCCCCCCCCCCUCCCCCCCCCCCUUCGGGCAGACCCGGGGACCAUCCCUCAGCCGCCCUCGGACACGGUAUCCCACUCCGGCCAUCCCGGCGGCUCCUACCUGCGCCUGGAGUCACGUGGGGCAGGGUAGGGGCGGUGGUGAUGGUGGUCUGGAUGGGGACAUCCUCCGCGCCUUCCCAAUUUAUAAACCGGACACAGAGUACACUGGCUCGAACUGAGCUCACAUCCCCAUUCGGAUGAGGAUACAGGGGGCAUGCUCACAAGACCGGACUUCCAACUCUGUAAUUAAUUGAGAAUCUCUGAAACGCCGCUGGAUGCAAAGGGACAUCACCUGACGAAGGAGCAGCGCUCCGAAAGCUUGCGAUUUCAAAUAAACAUACCCUGGCGUCAUGGCUU